CCCACGGCUUUCCUACAUUCUGGCUCCGUACCUGCAUAAAACACACACACACACACACACACACACACACACACACACACACACACACACACACACACACACACACACACACACACACACACACACACACAUGCAACCAUGCA